rnacentral:pre_miRNA from 1 species
UCAGGGCUGGAAGUCCCUCAGCCUGGAUUGCAAGAGGGCGCAGACCAGGCUGAGGGACCCCACCAGUGCACA